GCCGAAAUAGCUCAGUUGGGAGAGCGUUGGGCUGAAGAUCUAAAGGUCCCUGGUUCGAUCCCGGGUUUCGGCG
rnacentral:tRNA from 1 species